GUUUUUUUUUUUUUUUUUUUUUAAUUUGGAAAACAUGUAGCUAGCAGCUUUAUUGUGGUGUAACCUAUGCUGUCAGGGGCGCCGCCUGAGCGCCGCUCAGCGCCGCCUAGGCGCUAUUUCUGAAGGGGGACGCUCCGCUGGGCAAAAACAGCGCCUAAAACGCCUUGGGCCGCCUGGGCGGCGCUCAGGUCCAGCGCUCUGUUCAGAGCGGCCCAUACAAACGCGCUCAGAGCGGCCCAAACAUAAAAAGCCCAUAUAAAACUCUAAGCCCAAAAAAAAAAAAAAAAAACAAAAAACCUCACGUUCUCUCUCGUUCUCUCUACGGCUGCUGCUUCUUCCACUGCUCCGCUGCUACUUCUUUCUCCGGCUCUGCUGCUGUUGCUACUUCUUAAUUUUAUUCUAAUCUUCCUUUUUUUUUCAAUUUAAAUUCAAUUGAAGUUAAAUAUUAUUAUGUUGUUUACUCUACAGAAAAUAUUAAAAGAAAGAAAUAUUGUUAAGUCUUAAGAGUAGUGUAAACUGUAUGUCUGAUCGGAGCGCCGCCUGAGCGCCUCCUGAGCGGUGGAGGCGGUUCUCGGAAAUCCUAGCGCCUGGCGCUCCGCCCCGCCUUUGACAGCAUAGG
rnacentral:lncRNA from 1 species